rnacentral:rRNA from 2 species
AAAUUGAAGAGUUUGAUCAUGGCUCAGAUUGAACGCUGGCGGCAGGCCUAACACAUGCAAGUCGAACGGUAACAGGAAGCAGCUUGCUGAUUCGCUGACGAGUGGCGGACGGGUGAGUAAUGUCUGGGAAACUGCCUGAUGGAGGGGGAUAACUACUGGAAACGGUAGCUAAUACCGCAUAAUGUCGCAAGACCAAAGAGGGGGACCUUC